CGACUACACUAAACAUAAAAUCAAUAUUAUUAUAUUAUAAACAUAUUCUUUCGUCCCAUAAGUAUAUUUUUAUUUACGUUCUAUAUAACAUAUAUUAUGUGUAUUAUAAUAUAUUUGUAUACAAUAUAAUAAUAGUAUGAUUCAAUAGUUUUAAUAAGAUUGUCAUGAAUUUUACUAUGCAAUAAUAAUAAUAUGAAAUGGUCUAUAAUAUAUGAAUACGAAAAACAAAAAUUAAAACUUCGAAACCAUUACCCCCACGAAAAAAAAAAUACAAUAUAAUAAUAUAAUUUUUCACCGUUAAAUGCAACGAAAAUGCGUACAAAACAAAUUACAAUAAUAAUAAUUUAAUACAUUUUAAUAAUAGAAUGGUAACUUUAAAAAAUAAAAUACAAUUAUUAGCUUGGUAUAUAGACGGAACUAUAAGUCCAGCGAGUACUACAUUACGUUUUUUUUUUCUUUUCUAUAAUAUUACACUGUCCAAACUUACCUACUCCGACUGAGAAAACCUUGUGCCCCACAUACACUACACCGCGGUCAAACACGAAUUUAAUUACCUUAUCGCCACGGUUAAAGUUACUUAUACGAGACGACGACAAAAUAACAAUAAAACAUCAAAAUAUUACAAAUAUUACCGACAUAUAGCGCUGCAUUAUAACCCGUAUUAAAAUAUACAUAAAUAUAGUCAUGUUCUAUAGAAUACGAAUAAUGAUGGGUUGCAUAAACGUUCACUAACAAUUGAAUGAACCGUUAGGCAUUAGGGUAAGUACUUUCUUAAAUCUUAGUAAAUCUUUAUGGGUUAAUCAAAAAAAUAUACUCGUUUUAUGAUGUUUAAAUAUUUGCAUAAUAUGUUUGAUUAUUUUGGAAAGUGUAAAUUUUAAAUUAUUUGCAAAUUAAUUUAUGAUUAUCAAUAUUGCAGGUAUCGUUUCUCUUGGUGCUAACGUUUAUAAUCAACAACUAACCACGUGACCAAAGAAAAAACCAUCAUUAAUAAAUCGUUUAUGUAACUCAAACAGCUUUCUUAAAUUGUUUAAUUGUACAAUAAAUCCUACCGAUCAAUAAAUUUAAUGAAAGGUUUUAUACAAUCUAGGAUGAUAAGUAUAUUAAAUUAUGAAGAAACACAAAUAAAUCGAUACGAUAAAUAUUUAAAAAAAUUAUCGUAUUAUUAUAAUAUAGUAGUAGAGAAUAUGAAAAAAAUGUAUUUUACAAUUUGUACAUAUAAAAUUAAUAAUACAAAUAUUUUUAUUAAUUUAUUUUAUUAAUUAUUGAUAGGUAAUCAGGUAUAGAUAUUAUGUACUAAUAUACGUUUGAUAAAAAAUAGAUUUACAAAAAUCGACAUAAUAAAACGAAUUAAAUAUUAUAGGUAUUAUGAUAACAUUUUAAUAUAAUAACACAUCAAGAAGUAAAAAUUAAUAAUAUUUUAUUGGUUCGUCAGAGCGCUGCAUGUCAAUAAUUAAUGGGUUGUUUUAUUUAACUGUGUUAUUUUAAUACUAUGACCGCGAUCUUUACCAAUACACGAUUCUGCAUGAUGGCUAUAAAUAUAACAUACAAUAUAUUUACAACUCUUUACCUAAUAUAUAUAUAUAUACACGAUUCCGCAUGAAAACUGCCACAACAUCAAAUUUUUAUCAACAAGAACAACAACAAAAUAAAUAUUGCAGUAGGUACUUGAACUGUACUGGUUUGAGUGUGUUUGGCAUCUAUGCUAGGAUAACGGUUGCACCUCCCAACCUAUAUGUUUCGAAAUUUAAUAGAUUCCAUUGAUUUUUGCUGAUUUAUACGACAAAUCUCGACAUUUGUGCCUUCGAACUUUCCGACAUAUAGGUACCAAUUUUUCUUGAAGGGCUCUGAGGUUUCUUACGUUCCUAGCUCACAGUAAAUCA